UUAUUUUUGAAUACUUCUGUGUUCAUGUGGUAGGGAAAACAUUGUUGUAUACUACAAAUUCCCUGUUUUGCUUUUAGGUUGGAGACUACAUAAGACUUUGACAGUUGGCGGGAAACCAUCAUCAACUGGAGAGAUGCCGGUAGAGGAAUGUCUGCGACUAAGUCAUGGGCCACUGGAUAAGGGUUGUUGAUGGCAAAACAGGUUGGAGACUACAUAAGACUUUGACAGUUGGCGGGAAACCAUCAUCAACUGGAGAGAUGCCGGUAAAAAGAUGGCCAUAAAACAGUGACCGCUGAUUCGCAUUGAGUUCUUUCUUACAUAUUGGAUGACCUAUGUUUUUUAUUGUUUAAAUCAUUGCGGCUUGGAAUGCUCUUUAAGAAAAGGUAGAGGAAUGUCUGCGACUAAGUCAUGGGCCACUGGAUAAGGGUUGUUGAUGGCAAAACAGGUUGGAGACUACAUAAGACUUUGACAGUUGGCGGGAAACCAUCAUCAACUGGAGAGAUGCCGGUAAAAAGAUGGCCAUAAAACAGUGACCGCUGA